rnacentral:rRNA from 1 species
AUACGGAGGAUGCGAGCGUUAUCCGGAUUUAUUGGGUUUAAAGGGUGCGUAGGCGGGUGUUUAAGCGUGAGGUGAAAUGCCGGGGCUCAACCUCGGAACUGCCUCGCGAACUGGGCGCCUUGAAUGCUCCUGCCGUGGGAGGAAUGUGUGGUGUAGCGGUGAAAUGCAUAGAGAUCACACAGAACACCGAUUGCGAAGGCAUCUCACGAAGGGGUGAUUGACGCUGAGGCACGAAAGCGUGGGGAUCAAACAGGAUUAGAUACCCUGGUAGUCCACGCAGUAAACGAUGAUAACUAACCGCUGGUCUAUUUAUGGUUCAGUGGCCAAGCGAAAGCGAUAAGUUAUCCACCUGGGGAGUACGACCGCAAGGUUGAAACUCAAAUGAAUUGACGGGG